GGCCCGGUCGCGGAUGGUCCGCGCCCGUGAUUCGUAGGCAUUUAUGAAUGGUAACCUUGUACGAGAGCCGCUCGUUCGAUUCGAGCCCGGGCCA